AAAACAUGCAAACAGGAAUAUGAUAUCGCAGAGAAAAACUAUAAAGUGAAGUGACUAGGUUUGGCAACCAGGAUUUUGAUGCUUUUUGGGUCACAAUUUGCCAUGAACAAACCAUGGAUUUGGAAAAUGAAACUGACUUGGCUCCCACUAAUGGGUACUGUAUUUUUUCUGCUCCUGGUCACUUCAGAGAGC